rnacentral:rRNA from 1 species
UACGUAGGGGGCAAGCGUUGUCCGGAUUUAUUGGGCGUAAAGCGCGCGCAGGCGGUUUAUUAAGUCUGAUGUGAAAGCCCACGGCUCAACCGUGGAGGGCCAUUGGAAACUGGUAGGCUUGAGUGCAGGAGAGGAGAGCGGAAUUCCCGGUGUAGCGGUGAAAUGCGUAGAGAUCGGGAGGAACACCUGUGGCGAAGGCGGCCCCCUGGGCCGGCCCUGACGCUGAGGCGCGAAGGCGUGGGGAGCGAACGGG